rnacentral:rRNA from 1 species
AUACGUAGGGGGCAAGCGUUAUCCGGAUUUACUGGGUGUAAAGGGAGCGUAGACGGAAGGCCAAGUCUGAUGUGAAAGCCCGCGGCUCAACUGCGGGACUGCAUUGGAAACUGGUCAUCUGGAGUGCAGGAGGGGUAAGCGGAAUUCCUAGUGUAGCGGUGAAAUGCGUAGAGAUUGGGAGGAACACCGGUGGCGAAGGCGACUUACUGGACUGUAACUGACGCUGAGGCGCGAAAGUGUGGGGAGCAAACAGGAUUAGAUACCCUGGUAGUCCACACUAUAAACGAUGAAUGCUAGGUGUAGGGGGUAUCGACCCCUUCUGUGCCGCAGUCAACACAAUAAGCAUUCCGCCUGGGGAGUACGGCCGCAAGGUUGAAACUUAAAGGAAUUGACGGGG